UACGUAGGGUGCGAGCGUUAAUCGGAAUUACUGGGCGUAAAGCGUGCGCAGGCGGUUCUCCAAGUCCGUUGUGAAAGCCCCGGGCUUAACCUGGGAAUUGCGCUUAAGACUGGACUGCUUGAGUGCGGGAGAGGUGAGUGGAAUUCCCAGUGUAGAGGUGAAAUUCGUAGAUAUUGGGAAGAACACCAGUGGCGAAGGCGGCUCACUGGCCCGCAACUGACGCUGAGGCGCGAAAGCGUGGGGAGCAAACAGG
rnacentral:rRNA from 1 species